GCGCAAUAUUUGAGGACCCUAAUUAAUUGCCGCAAACCUUGCCAAUGGAAACGGCAAAAAUUGCUACUCCAAGAGUCGAUCGUGCCACUAUAUAAACAGCCACAUAAGGAACAGCCUAAGCACAACCAAAACCAAAAGGUCAAUACGAGAAAGAAAACUACUACGUUAUGGCUGUAAUCCAGAGCAACACGAGGGUUAUGUUCUUGAUGGCUCUUCUGAUGAUUUCGACCACUUUGUUAUCCAUUCAAGCAUCAGGGAGGAACAUAGGUCUGGAAGCCAACACUGGUGCCGUAAGUUCAGAAGCCAACGCUGGCACUGAGGAGAACCGCGAACCCUACCUUCCACCCCCGUGCGAUCCUGAAUAUUGUGAUGAAGCAUGUAAGGAAGAUAAGCACAAAGUUGGGACAUGUCAUAAAGAUGAUGGUGGUUGCUGGUGCAGCUAGAUGGCACUUCCCAGGUGCUGCAGAAAUUUCUAGCAAGGAAUUAACCGAGAAUAAAGUUAUGAAACAAGGCUUGAGGCCAUUAAUUUUUCUUUUCUUUUGUAGGAACCAUUAAGAUUUUUCUUCCAAUUUCUUGAUAAAUAGCAGAUCUCUAUUUCUUGAGAUA